rnacentral:pre_miRNA from 1 species
UAUAGGCUGUAAUGGUGAUGACGAUGAUGAUGAUGAUGAUGAUGUCAUCAUCAUUAUCAUCAUGUCAUGAUUAUAAAAA